AUGAUCAAGGGCUGGAAGCUAGGAGAUCAAAGCCUGGUUUCUUCUCUUAGUCCCACCUCAGCUCUGCCUAUGAAGCCAUCCCUCCAUCUGACCUCCAAAGAGCAGCCUUUGUUCAUUCCAUGCAGAUGUCCUGAAUGCACACCCUGUGCAAAGGGGCGUAAACUGAGCACUUGUGGUUUCAUCCAGUUCUGGAAGAAGUGGCUGUGCAAUGGAAGGAGCCACUGUGAAUCACCAGAGUGGGGGGAAAAAAUGCAGAUUGAAAUAAACAGAGAGGCAACUGGAAAUGACGAGCAUGAGCAGGCGAUGACUAAGGGACAGAUCAGUGCGUCAGACAAGGAGCUCUUAUGGAGGUGGCUUGGAGGUGGGCAGGAGACCGGAAGAAAGAGCUAUCAUUACACUUUCAUGAUUGUGUGCCCACGUCCACCCAUGCAAAAAAAGGAGGCACUGGCGGGGAGUACACAUUGGACUGGAAAUCAAAGAACAGUGGAGUCUUCUUCCAAUUUUACUUGGAUUCCAGGUAUCAAACUCAGAGUAUAAUUUCCAUGCUGUAACUCAGAUCUCCUCGUCUCCCUGCUCAGCUCCCUCCAGUGGCUUGUUAGGGCACCAUCAAUAAAGUUCAAGGUCAGGAUUUUGCCUGUUAAGCCCCCG
rnacentral:lncRNA from 1 species